UGAUCCGCCCGCCUCGGCCUCCCAAAGUGCUGGGAUUACAGGCGUGAGCCACCACACCUGGCCAAGGUCUGCAUUGUUAAUAGCGCCCUGCAGGGACCGUGCAGGCUGGCUGGGUUGCAUAGUGUCCACAUCGAUGAGGGAAAUGUGGGCAUGCAUGGUGAUGGGACGUGAGGAGGGCUGGCCCCCCGCUGGGAGGUGACUGGCUUGGCCUGAGGGACUGUAGCUGAGGGAAGAUGGACCAGGAACGGUUGCACGAUGGGUGUGGGAGAGUCAGGGGUCUUGUGAGUGAGCCAGUGCCAGGAGCUGUGAGAACCAGGGCCAGCCCCUGGGCAGCCUGGGCGUUUGGGGAUGGGCUGUGGAGCAGUUUUCAUGGCAGCGCCGCGGCCUGCUGACGUUUUCUUCAGACGUGCAAGGCGUUCUGUCUCCGGCUUGCCCUGGCUCCAGCAGGAAAUCUCCAGUCCUCUCGGUUUUUCCCUCCAACUGCUUUGAAAAGUUUUCACUGCCCCUGGUUUUGAGCAGUCUGAUGAGGACAUGCUUUGGUGUCCUGAGCGGUCUGACGAGGACACGUUUUAUGUACACGUACGCUACGUAACAGCCUUUGAGACUGGCUGCUUUUAUAUUCAUGGAAGGCUUCGCCAUGUAUUUUCGUGUCUUUUUAGCGCUGAGUGAAACUCCACGCUGGGCGUGGGCUGCAGCUCAUUCAUCUGCAUCCCCGUUGAAGGACGUCUUAGUAGCGUCCGCGCGUUGGCAGUUACGCAUCUAGCUGCCGUCGUGCAGGUUUUUGUUUUGACACAACUUUUCGGCCCAUUUGGGUGAAUAAAGAAGCCCGAUUGCCGGACUGUGUGAUAAGAGCCUGUUUAGUGAGAAACUGCCCAACUAUCCUCCCGCGGCCCUGCCGUGUCAUACCCACCAGCAACGAGUGAGCUCCCGAGGCCCGUGUCCUCCCCCGUGUUUGGUGGUGUCAGCGUUUGCGUUUGGCCAUUCGAAUCGGUGUGUAGUGGGAUCUUGUUUUCCAUCGCCUUUGAAGAUGUGCGUAGUUCUGUACCUUUCUGGUGCUCUUAAGUGCUUUGUUCCGACUCCAUGUUGGCAAGAGGGAUAAUUGUCUUUGAGUCUGAAGUGCCGUAUUUAACUUGUGUUGUCUUGUAGUUUCUCUGCGGUGACAUUCGCUUGGGUUUAGCUCUUAUACGGAUCAAAAGGCCCUAAUUCCUCCUCCUUUUCUGAAGUGCAUUUUUACAGGAUAUAGAAUUCUGAGUGGACUGUGUUUUUCUUUGGGCACGUUAAAGUUGUCCUCUUCACGCCUGCUUUCUGUUGUUUCUGAUGAGGAAUUUUCUCAUUCUUCUGUUUUCUUUAAUAUGAAAUCUCUUACCUCUGUCUAUAUAAAUGAUUUUCUUUUAUUUUUGGACUUUGGCCGUUUGUGAUGUACCUGGGUCUGGUUUUCUAAACUGAGCUACCUCGACCUGAGGGUGGGUGCCUUGUAACAGAUUUUGAAGUCUUGAUUGUUAUUUCUGCAAAUAUUUGUUUUCUUUUUCUUUCUUAGAGUUCCAUUUCUGGAAGAGUAUUUCUCAAUUUUUUCUGAUGUCCCACUCUGUCUUUUGGGUGUCAGGUACACGUGCCACGUCCUGGGUGUUGUCCCACAGGUCUCUCUAGUCACUGGUGUUACGGCCGUGGUGACCCACAGGUCUCUCCAGUCAUGUGUCACGGCCAUGGGUGUUGUCCCACAGGUCUCUACAGUCACUGGUGUCACGGCCGUGGUGACCCACAGGUCCCUCCAGUCACUGGUGUCACGGCCGUGGGUGUCCCACAGGUCCCUCCAGCCAUGUGUCACGGCCGUGGGUGUCCCACAGGUCUCUCCAGCCAUGUGUCACGGCCGUGGGUGUCCCACAGGUCCCUCCAGUCAUGUGUCACGGCCGUGGGUGACCCACAGGUCCCUCCAGCCAUGUGUCACGGCCGUGGGUGUCCCACAGGUCUCUCCAGCCAUGUGUCAUGGCCGUGGGUGUCCCACAGGUCCCUCCAGUCAUGUGUCACGGCCGUGGGUGUCCCACAGGUCCCUCCAGUCAUGUGCGAUUUGAUUGGAAUAGCUAAGAUAGGUUGGAGCUGGGAGAGACCACGGGAUGCCGUGUGUUGACUAACAAUAUUCUUCCUUGUCCGUGGGGUCUUGCGUUUCUGAGGGUGCACUACAUGUGGGUAAGGCAGUAAGAGGCAGAGGGGAUACUGUUUUGCCCCAGGAAGGCCUUGCCCCCGCCCCGUCAGCAGCUGGGUUGAUGUGCCGUCUCGAGGAGCUGGGCUGGCCUGGUCACCGCCUGUGUAGCGUAGCUUCGCCUCUGGGUUAGCUGUGGGGUGGUGGAAUCGUGACCUUUCCUGCAGCCCAGACCCAGGCAGGAGAACCUGGAGGGCCCGCUCUGCCUUGGGGCUCUUCCGGAUUCGUCCCACACCAGGCUCCUGGGACUAAUGAGGCCUCCACCGGGCUUGGUCUUGUCUAACCUCUGGAGAGCUCGUACCUGUCUAGAACAAACGUGUUGUCCUCAGCUUUUCGGCGGCCAUCAAUAAGUUAUUUGUGUUAGUUUGUUUAAUGCUUUCCUUUUACAGUGAAGCGAAGGUCUUUGGUGACCUCCUGCCUGCUAACCAAGCAUGGAAUUCUGUUCUGCACAGAAUCCGUGGCCGUGCCAGGAGGCCUUAGCCAGGGGCCUGCCUGGAGAUCGGCCCUCCUGAGACAAUUUCUGUGGGGUGGAGGUUGCUCAGAGCUGAUGGUCCCAGCGUGGCACUGUCUGGGCCCCUACGGACCUGACCCAGCUGCUGCUCUCUCCACCGUGGUCCUUGUUUCCUGGGUUUGUAGCUGCCGAGUAGGACGGCCAAAUAAAAUGCAGGCUGCCCAGUUAGCGUCGAAUGACAGAUACACGAGUGUGUGAGCACGUCCCAUGCAGUAUUUGGGACACACGCUGAAAACGGGUUUGUUGCUCCUCUGGGAUUGAAGUGUAACUGGGUGUCCUGUUUGUUUCACGGAUACCAGGACUCAGCUGGGGGUCCCUGGCGUUUGUUUGCUCCGUUCCUGGGCUGUUCCCGGGGAUGCGGAGACCCUGGCGUGGAGCGCCGCCUCCGCGUGUCCAGCAGAGGGCGCCCGUGCCCCCCGAAGGCAGCGCGGAGCCCAGAGCGCAGCCCAGCCCUGUGCCCUGGUCCUGUGGCUUGAGGUCGGGGAGGGAGGGGUGGUGGUCGCUGCAGGGCAAAUGUUUCCACUCAGCCAGAGCCACGACCCACGGCCUGUGCAGGGAGAGUCGAAAACACGGCCCCUCGUGAGCACUUGGGAAGUGAACUGUCCCCGCCCUGGUGGGCCGUCACCAGCCACAUCGAGAGAGACGCAGGAUGGUGGUGGCCUCGCCAGAGGCAUUACGUGUUCCCUGGAGCCCCUCCACCACCACCGUCCUUGUUCUUCUUUGAGUCGGAACCAGGUCCUUGGGGUCUGGGGGUGCUCAGCAGCUUUGCAGACUAGUUGAGGUCUUCCAGGUGACUCUCCUCGCCUUCACCGGCUCCUGGUUUGGGGGGCAAGGAUAGAAGCUACUAUGCAUCAGGUUUGUGAAUGGGGAUUUAAUCGAGUGUUUCACAGGGUGGCCCCUGCCAUCUCCGCCCCCGUUUUGUACGAGAAGCAGGCGGAAUCCAACUCUCCCCUUGAGAACACGCCGUUGCCCUCCACUGUUGCUUGUGUGUCUCGCCUGGCUGCGACCCAGUCAGAGCUCCCUGCAGUUGUCAAGUCCCUGGUUGACCUCAGGCUCCGGGCACUGAAGUCUUUCAGCGUCCCAGUAAGCACAGCCUGCGCACCCACUGUGUGCCAGCUCCCACCUUCCUGGAGCUUGGGGGAGGAGACAGGGACAGUGAGCAAACGUACAGACUGAGAUGGUGGGAGGGGCUGUGCGGUCCGGGUUCUCUGCACGAGAGGCUCUGGUGGCUACGUCCCAGGUUGUCUGCACGAGGGGCUCUGGCAUCUGGGCUCUGGCAGGGCGGCUGCUCCCCGGGUUGUCUGCACGAGGGGCUCUGGCGGCUGCACCCCGGGUUCUCUGCAUGAGGGGCUCUGGUGGCUACAUCCCAGGUUGUCUGCACGAGGGGCUCUGGCAGGGCGGCUGCUCCCCGGGUUGUCUGCACGAGGGGCUCUGGCAGGGCGGCUGCUCCCCGGUUGUCUGCACGAGCGGCUCUGGAGGCUGCAUCCAGGACUGCUGCUGUGUGGUUUUCUUUGCUGUGACCCGGUGAAGACUUCCUCACGGAGCACACCGGACUCGCAGUGCUGACACUCGGAGGGUUACCCUGUCCCUGACUGUAAGAUGACACUAAAUUAAGAGGCACUGCAGGGAUUGCAAAGUCUGAGUGGGAUUCUGAAUUCAUGGGUUCUGGAUUCUGAAUUCGAAGGCAGCAGUUUCCAACCCUGUUAAAUCUUGACCCCAGGAAGAAGGACCUUUUACAUCUUAACCCGGCAGACACAUGAUACCUACUGGCACUGUAUUUUGUUCAGUUAACCCUCAAAUGAUGUGUCCUAAUGUUUGGCCCUGGGUCAAGCAUUUCACAAACUGUUUAAUCUUCUCUACAAUCCCAGGUGAUAGCUACUGUCUUCCCCCUUUAUGCAGACAGACACCGAGGGAUACCUUAGAUGUCUUUCCACACCAUCCACCCCCUCGGCCUUUGCUGCCCACUUCCUGCACGUCAAACCCACUGACGGGCACCUGUUUGACUCCAAGAGCCCCGGGGCCAGAAACGUGGGAGACAACUGCUGUUCUGACCUUGAGCAAGUAAUUCACCUCUCAAGUCCCAGAGAAGCACAGAAAGCAACGGCAGGUGUAGUGGCUGGCUGCACUCAGGUGGCACCUACUGUGUGCCAGGCCCCCUUCUGCCCACUUCACAGGUGUCUCAGUCUCCACAGAGUCCGUUUGGAAACGGCCUGGAGCUAUCCAGGUUGCAAUGAGGCACCAAGGUGGCAGAGCCAGUGCUGGGCAAGAGGUGGGAGCUGCAGCUGCCGAACCCGUGAGCUUGCUUGCCUGGGGGUGGCGGCCUGGCCCCCAGGGGUGGUCUUGUCUCUAGGGGACCCAGCGUGGGGCCUUGUACCACCACCCGCUUCCAGCUCUGCCAUCUGCAGGUGAAGGAGAAAGCCACUGAGGCCUGGCCUCCAGGUCAGGCUGUGUCCCUGCUGGGAGCUGCACCGGCCUCAGGUUCUUCCUGUAAGGGAGGACCAGGCAGCUGGGGGCAGCAGCAGAUCCAGCUCUGAAAGCUCUGACAAGAAGUUCCUUGAAGUGUGAUGGACCGCAGUCAGCAUAUGCAGGAGACGACCCCAAUCCUGACCCUAAUGCUAAUUCUUGCUUCCCCCACCAGAUUUUAAUCCUUAUCCUGCCCAGGGAUUUUAAGGGCUGACCCAAAUCCCGACCCAAGGGGAAGGAUGGAAGGGGGAACAGCCUCCAGCCUCACCUCCGCGCUCUGUCCUCCCAGGUCGACCCCACCCCUCUCCCAGAUCUCUUCCUCCUGGCUUGGCCCGAUCCCACAGCCCCCACUGUCUUCUCCCCUCCCACUUUGGCAAGCCCCUCCACAUGACCUCUCCCUGCUCCCCAGCACACAGUAGGUGCUCAAUAAAGAACCCUGCCUUUCCUUGA